AACGUAGGAGACAAACGUUAUCCGGAGUUACUGGGCGUAAAGGGCGUGUAGGCGGUCGACUAAGUCUGGCGUGAAAGCUCGCGGCUAAACCGCGAGAGGUCGUUGGAUACUGGUUGACUAGAGGACGGUAGAAGCGUGUGGAAUUCCGGGUGUAGUGGUGAAAUGCGUAGAGAUCCGGAGGAACACCAGUGGCGAAGGCGACACGCUGGGCCGUACCUGACGCUAAAACGCGACAGCAUGGGGAGCGAACGGG
rnacentral:rRNA from 1 species